rnacentral:rRNA from 1 species
GACGAACGCUGGCGGCGUGCUUAACACAUGCAAGUCGAACGACGUGGCGCACGGGUGAGUAAUACGUAGGUAACCUUCCCUCCUUUUUGGGGUUAGCCUUGGGAACGGGUUCUAAUACCGACUAUAGGGGGAUGGGCUCGCGGCCUAUCAGCUUGUUGGUGGGGUGAUGGCCUACCAAGGCGGUGUCGGGUAGGCGGGAUGAGAGGCUGAACUGGGACUGUGGGACGGAGAUACGGCCCAGAGGACGACGGGGGGGAGCAGUGGGGGAUAUUGCACAAUGGGCGAAAGACUGAUGCAGCGAGGACGAGUGGGGGAUGAAGGCUUUCGGGUUGUAAACGUCUGGAGCUAUGGAACGGGUAGCUGGAGAAGAAGCGCCGGCUAACUACGUGCCAGCAGCCGCGGUAAUAC